UAAGUAGGGUCCGAGCGCUGUCCGGAAUUAUUGGGCGUAAAGAGCUCGUAGGCGGUUUGUCGCGUCUGCUGUGAAAUCCCGAGGCUCAACCUCGGGUCUGCAGUGGGUACGGGCAGACUGGAGUGCGGUAGGGGAGAAUGGAAUUCCUGGUGUAGCGGUGGAAUGCGCAGAUAUCAGGAGGAACACCGAUGGCGAAGGCAGUUCUCUGGGCCGUAACUGACGCUGAGGAGCGAAAGCGUGGGGAGCGAACAGG
rnacentral:rRNA from 1 species